rnacentral:rRNA from 1 species
ACCUUYGGGCCUCUCGCGUCAGGAUAUGCCUAGGUGGGAUUAGCUAGUUGGUGAGGUAAUGGCUCACCAAGGCGACGAUCCCUAGCUGGUCUGAGAGGAUGAUCAGCCACACUGGAACUGAGACACGGUCCAGACUCCUACGGGAGGCAGCAGUGGGGAAUAUUGCACAAUGGGCGCAAGCCUGAUGCAGCCAUGCCGCGUGUGUGAAGAAGGCCUUCGGGUUGUAAAGCACUUUCAGUCGUGAGGAAGGUAGUGUAGUUAAUAGCUGCAUUAUUUGACGUUAGCGACAGAAGAAGCACCGGCUAACUCCGUGCCAGCAGCCGCGGUAAUACGGAGGGUGCGAGCGUUAAUCGGAAUUACUGGGCGUAAAGCGCAUGCAGGUGGUUUGUUAAGUCAGAUGUGAAAGCCCGGGGCUCAACCUCGGAAUAGCAUUUGAAACUGGCAGACUAGAGUACUGUAGAGGGGGGUAGAAUUUCAGGUGUAGCGGUGAAAUGCGUAGAGAUCUGAAGGAAUACCGGUGGCGAAGGCGGCCCCCUGGACAGAUACUGACACUCAGAUGCGAAAGCGUGGGGAGCAAACAGGAUUAGAUACCCUGGUAGUCCACGCCGUAAACGAUGUCUACUUGGAGGUUGUGGCCUUGAGCCGUGGCUUUCGGAGCUAACGCGUUAAGUAGACCGCCUGGGGAGUACGGUCGCAAGAUUAAAACUCAAAUGAAUUGACGGGGGCCCGCACAAGCGGUGGAGCAUGUGGUUUAAUUCGAUGCAACGCGAAGAACCUUACCUACUCUUGACAUCCAGAGAACUUUCCAGAGAUGGAUUGGUGCCUUCGGGAACUCUGAGA